rnacentral:rRNA from 1 species
UUCUAACCGUAAACGAUGACAACCAGCGAUUAAUCGGCGUUAAUAUAUGACCCGAUUAGCAGCUUCCGGGAAACCAAAGUUUUUCGUUUCCGGGGGAAGUAUGGUUGCAAAGCUGAAACUUAAAGGAAUUGACGGAAGGGCACCACCAGGAGUGGAGCCUGCGGCUUAAUUUGACUCAACACGGGAAAACUCACCCGGCCCGGACACCGUAAGGAUUGACAGACUGAGAGCUCUUUCUUAAUUCGGUGGGUGGUGGUGCAUGGCCGUUCUUAGUUGGUGGAGCGAUUUGUCUGGUUAAUUCCGAUAACGAACGAGACUCUGGCCUAUUAAAUAGACGACGUAUUAAAAAGUACGUCGCACUUCUUAGAGGGACAAGCGGCGUCUAGCCGCAUGAAAUAGAGCAAUAACAGGUCUGUGAUGCCCUUAGAUGUCCGGGGCUGCACGCGCGCUACACUGAAAGAAUCAGUGGGCGUUAAACCUAGUUCGGAAGGACUGGGUAACCCAAGUAAAUUCUUUCGUGCUUGGGAUAGGGAAUUGCAAUUAUUUCCCUUAAACGAGGAAUUCCCAGUA